rnacentral:rRNA from 1 species
GACGAACGCUGGCGGCGUGCCUAAUACAUGCAAGUCGAACGCUGAAGGCGGAGCUUGCUUCUCUGGAUGAGUUGCGAACGGGUGAGUAACGCGUAGGUAACCUGCCCGUUAGCGGGGGAUAACUAUUGGAAACGAUAGCUAAUACCGCAUAAGAGUAGAUGUUGCAUGACAUUUGCUUAAAAGGUGCAAUUGCAUCGGUACCAGAUGGAGCUGCGUUGUAUUGGCUAGUUGGUGGGGUAACGGCUGACCAAGGCGGCGAUACAGAGCCGACGUGCGAGGGGGGUCAGCCACACUGAGAGUGGGACAGGGCCCAGACGCCUACGGGGAGGAGCAGUAGGGAAUCGUGGGCAAUGGGCGGAAGUCAGAGCGAGAAACGCCGCAGGAGUGAAGAAGGAUUUCGGAUCGGAAAGCUCUGUUGUAGGGGAAGAACGAGUGUGAGAGUGGAAAGUACACACUGUGACGGUAUCUUACCAAAAAGGAACGGCUAACUACGUG